GGGCAGGUACCCAAGUGGCCAAAGGGGGCUGACUGUAAAUCAGCUGGCAACGCCUUCGGAGGUUCGAAUCCUUCCCUGCCCAUCA
rnacentral:tRNA from 1 species